GGCGCUCUAACGGGGUGCCGGGCGCCAUUUUUGGCGGAUCGGCUGAGAGGCAGACAUGCCAACCCGCUGAACCUGAUCCGGUUUGUACCGGCGGAGGGAUUAGACGUUUCGGACCA
rnacentral:ncRNA from 2 species